CAGCAGCCGCGGUAAUACGAAGGUCCCGAGCGUUGUUCGGAAUCACUGGGCGUAAAGGGAGCGUAGGCGGCGUGGUAAGUCAGAUGUGAAAUCCCGGGGCUCAACCCCGGAACUGCAUCCGAUACUGCCAUGCUAGAGGAUUGGAGAGGUAGCUGGAAUUCCCGGUGUAGCGGUGAAAUGCGUAGAGAUCGGGAGGAACAUCAGUGGCGAAGGCGGCCAUCUGGGACAACACUGACGCUGAGGCACGAAAGCGUGGGGAGCAAACAGGAUUAGAUACCCCGGUAGUCCCUGUCUCUUAUAC
rnacentral:rRNA from 1 species